CCUACGGGAGGCAGCAGUGAGGAAUAUUGGUCAAUGGCCGGAAGGCUGAACCAGCCAAGCCGCGUGAAGGACGAAGGUGCCAAGCAUUGUAAACUUCUUUUGUCAAGGGACACAAUCAGGCUCGAGAGCCUGACCGAGGGUACUUGAAGAAAAAGCAUAGGCUAACUCCGUGCCAGCAGCCGCGGUAAUACGGAGGAUGCGAGCGAUAUCCGGAUUUAGUGGGUUUAAAGGGGGCGUGGGCGGACUGUUAAGUCAGCGGUAAAAGCCCGGGGCUCAACCCCGGCGAGCCGUUGAAACGGGCUGUCUUGAGAUGUCGAGAGGUAUGCGGAAUGCGCAGUGUAGCGGUGAAAUGCUUAGAUAUUGCGCAGAACUCCGAUUGCGAAGGCAGCAUACCGGCGGCGAUCUGACGCUGAGGCACGAAAGCGUGGGUAUCGAACAGGAUUAGAUACCCGUGUAGUC
rnacentral:rRNA from 1 species